rnacentral:rRNA from 1 species
UCAGAACGAACGCUGGCAGCGUGGAUGAGGCAUGCAAGUCGAACGGUCGUGUGCUGGUAGCAAUAUUGGCGCACGAUAGUGGCGGAAGGGCGAGUAAUGCGAAAGCAAGCUACCCCUCGAUUCGGGACAACGGCUGGAAACGGCCGCUAAUACCGGAUACGAACGCGGUUCCGCAUGGGAUUGCGUUGAAAGGCCGGGACCUUCGGGCCGGUCGUCGGGGGAGGCGCUUUCGUGCCGUCGGCUAGUUGGUAGGGUAACGGCCUACCAAGGCUUACGGCUAGGUGGACUGAGAGGUUGGUCACCCGCACUGGGACUGAGACACUGCCCAGACUCCUACGGGAGGCUGCAGUCGAGGAUCAUUUGCAAUGGGCGAAAGCCUGACAAUGCGACGCUGCGUGCCAGGAUGAAGGUCUUCGGAUUGUAAACUGCUGUCAGGGGGGAAAAGGACUGGGCCCCGAACAAGGGCCCUCGUUUGAUUGUACCUCCAGAGGAAGUGACGGCUAACUCUGUGCCAGCCGCUGC